AGCUUCCCGAUGCUUACCACAGUCUUUGUUCUUAUACUGACUGUAUAGAUAAAGAGGAAGAAAAGUAAACCUACCCCAUUACACUUCAGCCCAGGCCCUGUGCUUGAUCUGUAUUGUGAAUGAGAAGACAUGG
rnacentral:snoRNA from 1 species